GCUGGAUGAAAUAAAAAAGAAAGAUAAUCAAAGAGUGGUUGAAGAGAAAAUGUCAAAAACAUUUUCUUACAGGCGCGACAAAGUUGUUAAUCUCAGCCCACCAAUUAAAGAUUUCCAGGAGAGAUGGCCUGCCUUAUUCUCAGAAGCUCAGAUAAAGGAGGAAUUCCGAAGAAUUACGGCUGUACCCCUGGAACAAGUCUUUAUGUCGAAACUCGAUGGCUACACGCCGAAACUCUUGGAGCUUUUAGAAGCUAAGGGAGGUGCUGCAGGAGUCAGGAUACAGUCAACACUCAAUGCGUUGACUCCGUGCAAUACCAUUGAAAAACGACGAGAUGGUGUGAUUCGCAGUCUCAUUGAAUAUCUUGGUGAGGGGGCAGAGAAUCUUUUCAAAGAUGGCAAUG